UACGUAGGGGGCAAGCGUUGUCCGGAUUUAUUGGGCGUAAAGAGCGUGUAGGCGGCCAGACAGGUCCGUUGUGAAAACUCGAGGCUCAACCUCGAGACGCCGAUGGAAACCGUCUGGCUAGAGUCCGGAAGAGGAGAGUGGAAUUCCUGGUGUAGCGGUGGAAUGCGCAGAUAUCAGGAAGAACACCAAUGGCGAAAGCAGCUCUCUGGGACGGUACUGACGCUGAGACGCGAAAGCGUGGGGAGCGAACAGG
rnacentral:rRNA from 1 species